CUUCCCCUCCCGGGAGGGGCGCCCCCACCCCUUGGGGGCGGGGUUAUCGCCGGGCCGCGCGCGGGGGCGGGGCUCCGUGUGCCGGGCGGCUCUGCCCGCCGCUGGGGGUCGGGGUUGUCCGUCCCCGGUGAGUCCUGCCCCGUGCCCGGCCUGGGUGCCAGGUGCGAACAAACACCGCAGAGGUGAUGAAAGGGGUGGAGCUUCUCCCGUAUGAGGAAGGGUUGAGGGACCUCGGUCUCUUUAGCUUGGAGAAGGGGAGACUGCGGGGUGACCUCAUUCGUGGUUAUCAAUAUGUGAAGGGUGAGUGUCACGAGGAUGGAGCCAGGCUCUUCUUGGUGACAACCAAAUAUAGGACAAGUGGCAAUGGGUACAAACUGGAACACAGGAGGUUCCGCUUAAAUACGAGAAGAAACUUGUUCACGGUGAGGGUGACAGACACUGGAACAGGCUGCCCAGGGGGGUUGUGGAGUCUCCUCUCUGCAGACAUUCAAAACCCACCUGGACACAUUCCUGUGUAACCUCAUCUGGGUGUUCCUGCUCCAGCAGGGGGGUUGGACUGGAUGAUCUUUCAAGGUCCAUUCCAAUCCCUGACAUUCUGUGAUUCUGUCAUUCUGUGAAAGUGCAGGUGAAACUGAGCUUUGAAAAUGGUAAAAUACGCCGCACAUAUUGUGCAGGGGGAUUCGCCACCCGUUUCGUGACUGGCUCUCCCAGCCCAUACCGAAAUUUUCUCCAUUGCUGUGGUUAAAGGCAGCGUGUUUGUGGUCACCUCGUCCAUGGUGCGUGCGGCUCUUGCCUCAUGGUGGUUCAUGUAGGUUGCUGUAGAGCAAGAAGGUGUCUGAAAAUGGGGCUGAAUCACAGUGCCAGAAGUACACUGCAGCUGUUCUAUCUAAUAAAUGAUGAUAAAUACCAGAAUGUGAUUUUUGCAGGCUAUAGGAAUUGGAUGGAAUAGGCAGCAGGACCUGGCUGCAGUGUGUUGUGUCACCCCUUUCUGUCUGAAGAAGUCGGGUCAAUGUGUAGGGCCUUGCAACUUGUUUCUGUUAGGAGGAGAGGUGAACCAUGGAAUUGCAUGGGGUUUUUUUUAGUUUGCUUGUUUUUGAUGGGAGUCUCUUAAAUAAUACUAUGUGCAAAGCCUUGUUGUCUUGACGGCCAUCAGGAGAGGAUUUCCCUGCUGAUGGCUCCAAGCCUGUACGUGUUUCCACCAAAAAUACAUCCAGUCUUUGAUGUUUUCUCAGGAGGAUUGCUGCACAUCCUUCACUGAGUAUGUCUUUCUUUUUUCCUUUCACCUCAGCAGUCUGGUGUGGUCUGAGUUUCCUAGAUGAAUUUAUAAUUACACAGAUUGCUGGGGUCAGGUUUUUUAUUUAAGACAUAGCAACUGAAAUGGAGUCCACCCCCAGCAGCCUGGUGGUUUGGUGAAUGAACAAGAAACCUCAGCAUAUGUGCCUUGUGAGUUGCCUGAGCAUUUUGAUUGCUUUGAGUAACCGAUUCUUGGUGCUUCUGCCUGUAGCAGCAGUAGCAGUUGGCCUCCCUGCCUUGAUACCCGCACCUUUUGGACAAGGCAUCAGCAUCACCGUGCUUCUACCCAAGCCUGGUCUUGCUUGUGAAGCUGUUGCAUGGUUGUUUCUUCACGCAUGCACUGGGUUGCUUAGGAUUUUCUGGUAACAGUCACGAUGCUGGGAAGUCCUCCACAGUGGAGAGUUUCGGUAUUUAUCGAUGGAGUGCCUGGAACCCAGCUGGUUUCACCCCACCUCCAGUGUACCAGCAGGGUCUUUGCACAAGAAUCGCUUCACUCACAGGUAAAGUGGAGCAGAAUUCUGGGUAACACACAAAGUUUGUAACGGUUGACGGAGGUGCCACAGAAGAGGAGAGGGACUAAAAUAUCCGGCUGAAACUAAUGGGAAGAUCAAGACAAAAGGUUGGAAAUGUCUGUAGCGUGAGCUAGCAAAUCUCUUCCAGCCAUGUAUUGAACUCUCUGGUUUCGUGACAUUUGAAUAGAUCGUUUUGGUCCUCAGUUCAGCACUGAGGCAGGACAAAGAAAUUGGAAAUGAACUCAUGUAAAGAGAGGUGGAGUGUGGGAGGAAUGUUGCAGGAAAAGGGAUACAAAGCAGAGACUGGAGAGGUGGGAAGAAGGGGGCUCUGUCUACUGGCCUUGCCUAUUUCAAGUCUGCUUGAGCUGGCAUCAUGUUUUGAAUGAAUUUUGGCAAUGGCCAGCUGUGUGUUGGAUUUCUUUGAAGUAACGAGCAUGGUUAGAGUUUAACUGGGAAAAGAUGAAGAGAUGGGAGCACAGAGGAGUGUGGCUGCUGGCAAAUGAAAAUUUCAGAAUUUCUCUGGUCACAAAUCAAAGGAUUUUUUGUUCAUUUGUUUUGUUUUGUUUUGUUAUUUGCAGAUUAGCAAAUUUUUCCCAGUGCAGGUGGAGACCUCCACAUGGCAAGCAUAAGCCUGUUAGAGAAGCGCUGGCCCUGCUGUUUCAGCCACCUUGUGAAGAUCCCUUCCAAGUUUAAUCCACAGGUUCUGCCUUCUGUCCAAAAGCUGUCAGUUCACAGCUUCAAGUUACCUGAAGCCCGUGGAUCAACCAGAAGAUGUUGAUAACAUUUGUGGGCAGGAAUAAUUAAAAAAGGAUGUUUAGUUAACAUGCCGUGUAUGCUGUGUCCGGGAGAUGGAGAUGUUGGCAAACAGCACAGGGAGAGGACUGCACGCCCGGGCAGGGGCUGUACUCUUUCAUUUUUCAUCUAACAAAGAACAACGGAGCAGAAGGCAGCAUUACUUGGAAGUGCACAGACAUCAGAGGUCCAUGGAUUUCAGUUCAGUCAAGAUACUAAACUGACGCACAGCAAUUUGCAGAAAAUUUCAGGAUUGGUGUCUGAGGAAGCAAGGAAAGGAGGGCAGCAGUCUCUGAAAUAAUGCAAUGACUUGGAUUACUGUGAAUCUUUGUCUCUUCCUGUUGUAUUUUUGUGUGUAUCACUGUAAACUAGUGAAAUUACAGUGACAGAAGAGAAAGUGAAAAAAAAGCCUCUGUUGUAGUAAUUCAGAGAAAAUAAGUGACAUAGCAAGAAAGCCUUAUUGUGACUUAAAAAAUGACAUUUUCCUUUUAGAGUUCCAAUAUUAACUAUGUAGCGGGCAUGAGAAUGGAAAAAAAGACUGAUAGGAAAUCAGAAAAGCGCCUGAAAAUCAGGGUCACUUUAGAGGCUUUCGUGAUUUCCUGUAAUGUGACAUAAAACAUCUAUUGUGUUUUUGCUGGGAAAUUUGUAGCUGAGGUCAGCGUAGCAGAAAAUAAAAGUUGAGAAAACAUACACAGAGUUGCUGUUCUGGAAUGAGAGUCGUGUUCCUUAUCAAACAGGUCACAGAGGAUGGUGCCUGUUCAAAUUUACAUAAAACAAAUGCUGAAGCGUCUGUUAGACUGUAUCCUAACAUGUGUAUUGCUUCCUGUCAGUUUAAUUUUGCAUUAUCAGAAAGCUUUUGUUUAGCUAUAAGCAGCUUUUGUUACUCGGACUUGUUAGGACAGGUCUCUGGUGAUGGUUCUCCCUCCUGUCAGCGCUGCAUGCUGGCGGCACCCAGCAGUGGUGAUCCCUGCAGUUCUGACACCGUCUUCCCAGUGCAGUUCUGGGGCUGAUGGUGGGAUCUGUCUGGCUCUGGCACCUCUGGUCUGGAGGGCCGUCAGCUUCUUUCACCUUGCUCCACUCUCAGGUACGUGGCCCUGCAGACAGCCAGUCUGCAUCUGACCUGGGCCUUCCUCAAGACCAGCAAGAAAUCCCAGAGACCAGUCCUGCCUUCCAUGUCCCCCUUGGUGGUGGUGGCGAUGCAUGCUGAGAACCAAGUGUCUCCCGAGGUCAUGUGUGUGGUUUGCUAAAAAGUUAGUGGAGGGAACACGUACAGCUAGGGCCAACAAAGUGAUGUGGUUCCACAGGGAGCUGAGUCAGGGACUGAACUUCAGUCCUAGGUCAGUGGUUUAACCACAAGGUCAGUUCCUCAUUCAUUAUGACUUAUUUAAUAAUAAAGCUAAAAUAAAUACUUGAAA